UACGUAGGGGGCAAGCGUUGUCCGGAAUCAUUGGGCGUAAAGCGUGCGUAGGCGGCCCGGUAAGUCCGCUGUGAAAGUCCAGGGCUCAACCCUGGAAUGCCGGUGGAUACUGUCGGGCUCGAGUCCGGAAGAGGCGAGUGGAAUUCCUGGUGUAGCGGUGAAAUGCGCAGAUAUCAGGAGGAACACCGAUGGCGAAGGCAGCUCGCUGGGACGGUACUGACGCUGAGACGCGAAAGCGUGGGGAGCAAACAGG
rnacentral:rRNA from 1 species